rnacentral:rRNA from 1 species
GAUAAACGCUGGCGGCGUGCCUAACACAUGCAAGUCGAACGAUCCCGCAAGGGAGAGUGGCGGAAGGGUGAGUAACACGUGGAAUCUACCUCCUCGCAGGGAACAACCUCUCGAAAGAGAGGCUAAUACCCAAAGGGUCAGAAAUGAUCAGAGUCGAAAGGCGUGAGGAGAGGAGCCCGCGGCCCAUCAGCUAGUUGGUGAGGUAAUGGCUUACCAAGGCUACGACGGGUAGGGGAUCUGAGAGGAUGUCCCCCACACUGGAACUGAAACACGGUCCAGACGCCUACGGGGUGGCAGCAGUGAGGAAUAUUGGACAAUGGGCGAAAGCCCGAUCCAGCAACGCCGCGUGGAGGAUGAAGGCCUUCGGGUCGUAAACUUACUUUAGAGGGAGGACGAGAAAGGACGGGUAUCCCUAGAAUAAGCG